rnacentral:rRNA from 1 species
UACAGAGGUGGCAAGCGUUGUUCGGAAUUACUGGGCGUAAAGGGCGCGUAGGCGGCCUUCUAAGUCAGACGUGAAAUCCCCCGGCUUAACCUGGGAACUGCGUCUGAUACUGGAAGGCUUGAGUGCGGGAGAGGGAUGUGGAAUUCCAGGUGUAGCGGUGAAAUGCGUAGAUAUCUGGAGGAACACCGGUGGCGAAGGCGGCAUCCCGGACCGACACUGACGCUGAGGCGCGAAAGCUAGGGUAGCAAACGGG